CAGGAAGAGCUGGUCCUGGAACAGUGCUUUGGGGCUGAAGCCCUUCGCUGGAAGUUUCACUCAAACAGAAUAAAACUGAUCUUAGAUCAGUAAUACUUCACCCUACUCAAACCUGCUCCUGUGGGAGUGGCCAGAUCCACCUGAAACACACCUGUCUGUCAGCUGACGCAGUUGAUGAGGUGACUGACCAAUGAGGUGACAGGAGAGCCAAUCAACACCUUGACACGCUCUCUCAACAAGCUGUUCAGCAGAGGCAAUGGAGACAUCAUUGAAGUCAGAGGAACCAUGUCCUAACCCUCCUCCCUACUUCCUACCAGUCCAGGGUAAAGGAGAUGACAUGAGCAUAUCUCCCUUCACUCCUCCUCCUCCACCUGGUGCUAUGGGUGGUAGCUUCAUCAACCAGACCGCCACUGGUGGUGCCAGCCCCCCAGGCAGAGGUUUGUCCAGCACUAUGAGACAGAGCUGGGUGAUUCUCCUGGUCUCAUCAGAUGUCCUUCCUGUCAGAACCAGGUGAUGAGUGAUGUCACUCACCACGCUGGAACCUUCUCCUGGACCAUGUGUCUGGUGUUCAUCCUCUGUGGGUUGUUGCUGGGAUGCUGUCUGAUCCCGUUUGUCUUCAGGAGUUUCAAGGAUGCCUAUCACACCUGCCCUCGCUGUGGCAUGGUCCUUCACAUCCACAGGAAGAGCUGUUGCCCCUCUGAACCCUCCUCCCGCCUAGGGUCAGGGCACCCCGGUCAAACCUGAUGUGUGUGUGUGCAUCCCAAACGGAACCCUACUCCCUAUACAGUGCACAACUUUACACUAGGCCCCAAAGGAGUAGGACCAUAGGGCCUGGCUCUGACUAAAAGUAGUGGACUAUAUAGGGGAGACUAGCACGUCUGACACAGGGCUUAGUGCACUAUAUAGGGGAGACUGUAG